UGGCUCGUAGCUCAAUGGAAGGAGAGCAGGUGCCUUCUAAGUCACCCACGUGCGGGUUCGAGUCCCGCCGGGCCAGCCA
rnacentral:tRNA from 1 species